rnacentral:rRNA from 1 species
CUGCCUACGGGACGCAGCAGUAGGGAAUUUUCGUCAAUGGGCGCAAGCCUGAACGAGCAAUGCCGCGUGAACGAGGAAGGUCUUCGGAUCGUAAAGUUCUGUUGAAGGGGAAAAAGAGCGGAGAGAGGAAAUGAACUCCGAUUGAUAUUACCCUUCGAGGAAGUCACGGCUAACUACGUGCCAGCAGCCGCGGUAAUACGUAGGGGGCGAGCGUUGUCCGGAAUCACUGGGCGUAAAGGGCGCGUAGGCGGUAAUAUAAGUCAGAUGUGAAAGGUGGGGGCUCAACCCCUAGAGUGCAACU